AAGGUACCUGAAGAAUAAGCAUCGGCUAACUCCGUGCCAGCAGCCGCGGUAAUACGGAGGAUGCAAGCGUUAUCCGGAUUCAUUGGGUUUAAAGGGUGCGCAGGCGGAUUGAUAAGUCAGGGGUGAAAUCCCACAGCUCAACUGUGGAACUGCCCUUGAUACUGUUAGUCUAGAGUAUAGUUGAAGUUGGCGGAAUGUGUCAUGUAGCGGUGAAAUGCUUAGAUAUGACACAGAACACCGAUCGCGAAGGCAGCUAGCUAAGCUAUAACUGACGCUCAUGCACGAAAGCGUGGGGAUCAAACAGGAUUAGAUACCCUGGUAGUCCACGCUGUAAACGAUGAUUACUCGAUGUUGGCGAUACACAGUCAGCGUCUAAGGGAAACCAAUAAGUAAUCCACCUGGGGAGUACGAUCGCAAGAUUGAAACUCAAAGGAAUUGACGGGGGCCCGCACAAGCGGAGGAGCAUGUGGUUUAAUUCGAUGAUACGCGAGGAACCUUACCUGGGCUAGAACGUAGAGAGACUAUAGGAGAAAUCUUAUAUCCCUUCGGG
rnacentral:rRNA from 1 species